AAUCACUCAACUGCACAUGUAUUAAAAUUGGAAUGAUACAGAGAAGAUUAGCAUGGCCCCUGCACAAAGAUGACACACAGAUUCGUGAAGCGUUCCAUUUUUUU